GACGAACGCUGGCGGCGUGCCUAAUACAUGCAAGUCGAGCGAGCGGCGGACGGGUGAGUAACACGUAAGGAACCUACCGCUAAGCGGGGGACAACCUCCGGAAACGGGUGCUAAUACCGCCUAAUUAUCGCUGGCCUUGCGGUGCAUUAGCUCGUUGGUGGGGUAACGGCCUACCAAGGCAAUGAUGCAUAUCCGACCUGAGAGGGUAAUCGGCCACAUUGGUACUGAGACACGGCCCAAACUCCUACGUGAGGCAGCAGUAGGGAAUCUUCCGCAAUGGGCGCAAGCCUGACGGAGCAACGCCGCGUGAGUGAAGAAGGUUUUCGGAUCGUAAAGCUCUGUUGUAAGAGAAGCGGUAUCUUACCAGAAAGCCACGGCUAACUACGUGCCAGCAGCCGCGGUAAUAC
rnacentral:rRNA from 1 species